rnacentral:rRNA from 1 species
AGCAGCCGCGGUAAUUCCAGCUCCAAUAGCGUAUAUUAAAGUUGUUGCAGUUAAAAAGCUCGUAGUUGAAUUUCGGGAUUGACACAUCGGUCGUGCCCUAAGGGGUAUGAACUGGUGUAGUCAGUUUCUCACCUUCUGGAGAACCGCGAUGUCCUUAAUUGGGUGCCGCGGGGAACCAGGACCUUUACUUUGAAAAAAUUAGAGUGUUUAAAGCAGGCAUUUUGCUUGAAUACAUUAGCAUGGAAUAAUAAAAUAGGACGGAUGGUUCUAUUUUGUUGGUUUCUAGGAUCACCGUAAUGAUUAAUAGGGAUAGUUGGGGGCAUUAGUAUUCAAUUGUCAGAGGUGAAAUUCUUGGAUUUAUUGAAGACUAACUACUGCGAAAGCAUUUGCCAAGGAUGUUUUCAUUAAUCAAGAACGAAAGUUAGGGGAUCGAAGACGAUCAGAUACCGUCGUAGUCUUAACCAUAAACUAUGCCGACUAGGAAUCAGACGAUGUUAAUUUUUUAAUGACUCGUUUGGCACCUUACG